ACCGACUCUAGCCCAAACAAAUAUUAACACAACAACAACUAAAAUCUAAGCUAAAGCAUUUAACAUACACGUAGAAGUAUAGGAGAUAGAAACUUAACUAAGGCGCUAUAGAGAUAGUACCGCAAGGGAAAGAUGAAAGAUGCAACAACAGUAUAAAAAAGCAAAGAUUAACCCUUGUACCUUUUGCAUAAUGAACUAGCCAGAAUACACCUAGCAAAGAGAACUUUAGUUAGGCACCCCGAAACCAGACGAGCUACUUACGAGCAGCUAAUAGAGCAAAUUCAUCUGUGUCGCAAAAUAGUGAAGUGACUUGUAAGUAGAGGUGAAAAGCCAAUCGAGCCUGGUGAUAGCUGGUUGUCCAGAACAGAAUAUCAGUUCAACUUUAAGUACUACCUAAAGAAACCUAAAUCUUAAUGUAUACUUAAACGUUAAUCUAAGGGGGUACAGCUCCUUAGAACUAGGAAAAACCUUAAUUAGAGAGUAAAAAAUUAUUAACCCAUAGUUGGCCUAAAAGCAGCCACCAAUUGAGAAAGCGUUCAAGCUCGACAGUAAACACUCAUAAUAAUACCGCAAUCAACUGCUAACUCCUAAACUCCAACUGGACCAAUCCACACACAUGUGGAUGAGAUACUGCUAGCAUUAGUAACAAGAAGUAAUUCUCCCCGCACGAGCCUAUAUCAGAUCGGAUGCCCACUGAUAGUUAACAAUAUAAUAAGACAUAAGCCAAACUCAAGAAUACUUAUUUUAUAAAUUGUUGACCCAACACCGGAGUGCACUAAACCUUAAGGGAAAGAUUAAAAAGAGUAAAAGGAACUCGGCAAACACAAACCCCGCCUGUUUACCAAAAACAUCACCUCUAGCAUAAAAAGUAUUAGAGGCACUGCCUGCCCAGUGACAUAAGUUAAACGGCCGCGGUAUCCUGACCGUGCAAAGGUAGCAUAAUCAUUUGUUCCUUAAAUAGGGACUUGUAUGAAUGGCCACACGAGGGUUUAACUGUCUCUUACUCUCAAUCAGUGAAAUUGACCUCCCCGUGAAGAGGCGGGGAUAUAAAAAUAAGACGAGAAGACCCUAUGGAGCUUUAAUUAACUAACUCACAUACAAUAAACCCAACUCGACAGAGAAUAAACAAUGUAUCCUGAGUUAGCAAUUUCGGUUGGGGUGACCUCGGAGAACAAAAAAUCCUCCGAAACGAAUCAGCCAAGACAUAACAAGUCGAAGCACUACAUCAAUUAAUUGAUCCAACAAGUUGAUCAAUGGAACCAGUUACCCUAGGGAUAACAGCGCAAUCCUAUUCUAGAGUCCAUAUCGACAAUAGGGUUUACGACCUCGAUGUUGGAUCAGGACAUCCCAAUGGUGCAACCGCUAUUAAUGGUUCGUUUGUUCAACGAUUAAAGUCCUACGUGAUCUGAGUUCAGACCGGAGUAAUCCAGGUCGGUUUCUAUCUAUUAGAUGUUCCUCCCAGUACGAAAGGACAAGAGGAACGAGGCCAACUCACCAAGAGCGCCCUAAACUUAAUAGAUGAAUAGAUCUCAACCUAGACAGUUAUCAAAACCCCCUGCCCAAGAGCAGGGCUU
rnacentral:rRNA from 1 species